UUUCAAAUGAACGUGACAGGAAUCGCAGGGGUGCCCAGUACACGGCCCUGCACACAGGUACCUCGGCUUGGCAGCCAUGCCUCUGCUCUCUCCCCUGACCUUCAUAUCACCUUCCUUCAGGUGACUUGGUACCCCAGCCUGGGGCUUGGGAACGUCACAGCGGACCUGCCAGUGUCCUGAAGUAUCCAGGAGACUGGCUGGGGCCCAGCGCCUCCCCCACCCCACAAAGGGACUACUGUGGGGAGCACAGAGGAGCCGCCUGUCCUGGAGGCUGGGGUUCUACCUCCUGCGAACAAUGGCCGGACUCAGUGCAGACACUGCCAUUGAAGUGCGGGCAUUCUGUCUUUUGAAAAGGGCAGAGAGGAGCCUUGUGUUUGCAUCUCCUCUCUGGCCUCAAAACCCAGUGGCUUUUCCAGUGAAACCAGCACUGUGGCCUCCCGUGCCCUCACCCGGGGAGCCGGAGCAGCUCCAAAGUCCAUCCCGUGUGCUGAGGUGCCACUGGCCUCAGAGCCUCUGCCAGCCAUCGAAGUGGGGUCCCUGGGUCCCCAUCCCUGCCAAGAACCCCUUUCCACAGGUGAGCUGUGCCCUGAGCCCCAGGCACUGCCUAGAGGUCUCCACACCCCACCUUCACGAAGGAAGCAGGGCUCUGCCCUCACUCCCCAGAUCCCUGCCCUCGAGCCCCAGCACCCUGGAGACAGUCGUCCAGGAGAGGUGGUUCAGGCGCACUGGACGGGGCUGCAGUCCCCUUCCAAAAGGAAGCAGGUGCAGAGUGAUUGAAAAUACGUCCUCUCUGAAAUGGCUUCAGCCACAGCGGUGGCUCUCAUAGAGUGGGGUCCCGGGGCCACUGCAGCAGCGGCAGCAUCUGGGAACCGGUAGGAAAUGCAGGUCCUCAGGCCCCGCCCAGACCUGUGGCAUCACACACUCGGGCAGGCAGCAGCCUGUGCUUUAAGGAGCCCUCGAGGAGCUUCUGAUCACACAAGUUCAAGACCCUCGGAAGAGCCUGCCUCUGAAGGAAGCCUGGAGCAGAGGCUCCAGCAAGGUCGUCAGCCGCCUGCAGUUCUGCCCAGUCAGUGAGUCACAGGCCCCUCCCACAGGUGGGCCACCUGCACCCAACACCUACAGCCAGGUGCUAGCAUCCCAGCAUGUGAGCCAAUGCGAGCUGACCUACAUUUACCUGAAGGUGCCCAUUGGACUGGCACAGAGCCAGCCUCGUGUGCAGGGGACAGCCCGACUCCACUCCUGCCCCUCCUGUCAACCGAGGCAGACCGGAAGGAGACCAGGCUCCAGUGUCCACAGACGUCCAUCCCAAGAUGCUCUCACUUGGCUUGUCCUCACGUCGGCCUGGGCACGACAGGAUCCCUGGGGAACCCAAGGAAAGCAUUGGGGCCCCCGGGCCUCCUGGAAGCAGAACUGGAUCUGGGAGAAGGAAGGUCACGGCAUCCCUCAGGCCUCCCCCUGCUAGCAUUUCUUCUCCCUGGUGCCUGUUCUGCCCACUCUUCUCCUCCUCCUGGUCUUGGCCCGAGGAUGAGGUCAUGGUGCCGUGCGGGGCCCAUGUGACAUUUUGCUGCAUUACCCUCCUCCCCGGGGCAUCUCCCCUCCUCUCUUCCUGGUCCAGAUACCUGAGGGGGACAUCUGACUGGCCCAGCCCAUCUUUCUGCACCAGGCUACAGGGCAUGGCCAGCCUGUGCGUGAGCUGCCUUCAGGUCAGGUGUCCACCUGAUCCAAUCGGUGUGACAAGCAGAGACUAGCAGCCAGCUUUCCUUCACGACAGCUCUGACCAUCACCUCUCACUGCAUCAUUGACUGGGCUUUGAAAAUUUUGAUUGUAAAUGCCCCCAAGUUCGUGAAGUUAUAUUUAACCCUUAAAGAUUGAUGUGUCAAGUAUGUCAACCCAAUGAUCCUGACCUAGAAGUCCAGGUUUGGUGGCAGUUGCUGUGGGUGUGUGCUGGGCCCUGGUGCCAGGGGCUUGUCUGGACAUCUGCAUGCCCCCUUCUCCGGCUAGGAGCCCAAGUUCACUCGUAUUCUCUCCAAGUGGGAACUGAACAGACCAGAGGAAAACACGUGUUUGCUGAGCCUCUGGUUUCACUUCCCAGACAGCGAGGACUCGCUGGUCACCUCCACUCUUCUUCAGGGAAGAUGGAGGCUGGCCCUCAGGACCAGGGUUCUCAGGGUGAACCUGGGGUCCGGGUGAUGGCCACGGCCAGCCUCUCUUUGACUGCCACGGGGAGUGGUUAAUAAACACCUGGGCUGGCGGAGGGAUGCCUUUCUUCCAGGAAAUUAGUUCAGGAGAGCUUGGUGGCCUGGAUCAAGUCUCCUGUUAAAGAGUAACUUACACCCCAUAUUACAUUUGAGUCCCGGGAGUAAAUAUCCAGGGGAAGUGUUUAUUUUAACAGGUGAACAAAGCAUCCUUUGUGGGCCAGCUCUGCCAGCGCCAGGAUCUCCUUUGAUAGCAACUGGCUGGCACAGCCCCUGGGAACAUGCAGCCUUGUGGUUGACCAGUUAACCACUCUCCGGGUGGGUUUAUCCACUCUGGUCUUUGCUUUCCCAAGCAUGGGAUUGAUGGAGCUGUCAGCACCCCCUCCAGACCGUCCACAUCAGAGUGGGAUGGGAUCUCUCUCCCCUCGUCUGGAGUGAAGGUGUUGUGCGCCCUCAGAGUGGGCCGUCCAAACCUGAACUUCUAGGUCAGGGUUGUUGGGUUGACACCCCAUGUACCACCUCUCUAGGGUCUCGCGGUGUCUCCCAGACCCUCCUGGAAGCAGCUCCACAGAUCUGCUGGCUCUAAACCCUCCCCACUGGCUGCACCUCUGUGCGUCCCAGGAGGGAGCUUUGCUAAAAUACACUUUUCCUGGGCCCCAGCCUGGAUGACUCAAUUAAAUUCCUGGGGGUGAGAGUCUGGCACUUGUACUUAAAAAAAAAAAAAGAAAAAAGAAAAAAACCUCCUUUGUCUGAUUCAAAACAAUGUAGGGAGAAGGGGAACUGGGUAGAGUAUAAAUAAAACAAGAUGGGCAUGAGUUGAUGGUUGAUAUGGGGAUAUGAAAGUUCAGUAUAAAUCCUGUCUACUUAUGUAAAAAGUUUGGUGUAAAAUAUUAACAAUGUUUCACAUAAUGAAAGUUUUAAAAAAAUGCUCCCCAAGAGAUUCUGCUCUGCAGCCGAACUGAGAACGCCAAAAGUGAGCCCCACGGGAUUUGAUGGGAGUAAGUCGGCUUGGGCAAGAUACCGACUCAGAAAGCAGAGCUGCUCCUGACCCCGAUGCAGCAGCCUGUGGUCAGCUCCACUCCGUUCCUUCUGAACACCGGGCUCCGUCAGAUCCAGUCCCUGCCAGACCGGACCCUCACACAGCUGGAGGUGACGCCGGGCAAGUCACCCAACCUCUCUGAGCCUCAACUUCCUCAUCCGUAAAGUGGGCGUGCUGACUCCUGUGGGGGCCAUUGCUGCAGCCUUGGGUCCUCCGCAGCAGACGCAGGUCAUAAGGAAGGUCUAUGCGCACUGACAGAAUCUCCAAGAUUUAGUCUGCUCAAGGGAAAAGCAGUUUACAGCAUGAUACAUACAGAGCGACACCCUUUGAGUUUAAACACACACACAGGCGCAAAACUCAAACUAUGUGUUUAUAUAGGCACGAGCUUGUAUAUCAGUAAAAAUCCGGCAAAGUAGGCACCAAAACAAAACAGGGAAUAUACCGGGAGUCGGGGGGCACAAUAAAGGGGCUUGAUCAAGAUGGACUUGGAUUUUAUUGGUAACACUUUGAUUUAUAUGAGACUGUGUUCAAGAAUUAACUGUGUGGGACUUCCCUGGUGGCAUAGUGGUUAAGAAUCGCCUGCCAACACAGGGGACACGGGUUCGAGCCCUGGUCUGGGAAGGUCCCAUAUGCCGCGGAGCAACUAAGCCCAUGCACCACAACUACUGAGCCUGCACUCUAGAGCCCGCAAGCCACAACUACUGAGCCCAUGUGCCACAACUAUUGAAGCCCGUGCACCUAGAGCCUGUGCUCCGCAACAAGAGAAGCCCUUGCAAUAAUAAGCCCGCGCACUGCAACGAAGAGUAGCCCCCACUCGCCGCAACUAGAGAAAGCCUGUGUGCAGCAACGAAGACCCAACAUAGCGAAAAAUAAAUUAAUUUUUUUAAAAAAAGAAUUACUGUGUGAUUUCAAAUAAGUAAAAAUGUAAAUUGCACCCUUCUUGCAAGGGCAAGAAGAAUUACACCCUGAGAGACUAACGCAGCCCUGCCCUCCUGCCUGGCUUCUCUCACCUUCUUGGCACCUCCGUUCCAGAAACCGUCCCCCAGCCAGGCGAGUUAUUCACUCAACAAGCAGGUGCUGCCGCCGCCUCUAUGCUGGCCUCGGUCUGGACUCUGGGUCAGAGGUGGUUCCGAGGUGGGCCUGGCCUGACCUGGACGGGCUCCCAGCCCAGAGGGACACUGCAGGCAGCCUUGACGCCCAGCUCGGCUUCCACAUGUGUCUCCUAAAUGUUUGGAGGUGCCAGAAAACCCAGCAAUAGUAUUUUUCAGGCCAA